AUAAAUAAAAAUUUAAUAGAUUUCAUAACACGUUUUCAUGGAUGUUUGAUCUAGGAAAUUGUAUAAUAAUAAUUUAAGACAAUAUUUUUUCAAAUAAGAUAUUAAAUUAAAAAUAUAUAAUAAAUUAUAAAAUGAUUUAAAUUUUCUUAUAGUAUAAAUAAUUAAAGUAAAAUUAUACAAAAUUAUAAAAUAAAUUUAAUAUAUUUUAAUUAAUACAUACUGUACGGGCCUAAAUUUGCCCGAUGCCCAUGACUCAAAACCAAAAACAAAAAUAAAUAAAAACCAAAUUUUCAAACCAAAAUAAACAGCCCAAUAAAAAACCCCAAACUCAAAUUUUAGCCCAAACCUUAAAACCACAAUCAGCACAAUAACAAAUACAGCCCAAACUAUUAAUCUAAUGCAAAAAAUAUCAGCAGAACCCUAGGAACGUUCAGCCAUCGCCCCGCGCCUCUUCGUCUGCUCGCACGCUGCUCCAUCAGUCGCCCUCCACGCGUCGUUUGACAUCUGAAACAAGCACAAUAGCAGAGAAAGAAGCAUGCGAGCGCAGAGAAAUAAAGAGCAAAAAACAAAAAAACUAAAAGGGAAUCGAUUGUAAAUGGCUUUAAAAGCCCGGAUCUACUCUCUUGUAAUUUUUUUACGUACAUUUUACAAGCAAAAACUAAUAAAAAAAACAGAAUACUCGUUUUAAAGGUGAUUUUUUUUGUGUGUGAAGAUUUCUGUCUCUUUAUCUUGUUUUUACUUUUGUUUCUCUUAGUUUUUUUAUUUUAUUUUAUUUCACUUACGAAAAUAAAAGGGAAAUAAAACUUACCGGAAAACCCCCAUGGUCGGUCGUCGGAGACUUCUUUCUCCAUCGGAGUUGAGCCCAAAAGGGGAGGUUGGGAAGUCCCUUUAUUUUUGGGCACUCGACCGAGGGAUUUGGGACCUUCAAAGGCACCACAAACAGAGGCUAGGUAGCCUAUUUCACUUGUCGUUGGCCACUGAUUGUAAUGGUGGUGUGACAAACCACUGAGGGCGGCGAUGAGGGGUUCAGGACCCUAGCCGAACGGAAGAGAAAAGGGGGUAGGGAGGCUGAGUUCUUUUAAAAAAUAAGCAGCAGAAAUCUGCCUACAAAAGGAAGAAACCCUUUUGUUUUCUUUAAAAGGUGAAACGACGCAGUGUAAAAGGGGGGUCAUUUUCAAAGCCCGAAUGGGAUAUUUUCUACUCAGGUCCCUCUGUUGUCUUGCGUGUUUCAAUCAUCCCUUUUGCAUUUUUCUACAUUUAAAAUUAUCCCCGCAAGUUUGUGUGAUUGUUGCUUUGGUCCCCUUGUUUAAAAUCUUUUAUUUCUUUUAUUUUGAGUUCUUUUUUCUUUGUCUUAUUUAAAUUGUUUUACAUAUUAUUAUUAUUUGGUAUAUUAUUUAUUAUUGUAACACCCGUUAACCCCAAUUUGUAGCCAGAACGAGGUUAUGAGGCAUUACCAGACAUAUUAGACAACUUACGAAUAAUUUACAAUUAAUAUAACUUUCAUAGUAUAAUAUAAUAAUUAAGUCCCUAUAUUGGACUCUCAAAGUUCAAACACGUAUUAAAAGUAGAACGGGACUUGUUCGAGUAUUCCGGGAUUUCUUUUUUUUAUAAAAAAUUUCGAUAGCAUUUCUGCUUAUUUUUACCUAAAACCCCUGCAAAUUCAAACCAAAACAACCAACACCAAUGUUUCACAUUCAUAUAACUAAUAUUUAUAUCAUUAGCAUAUUUUUUUUAACUUCAUAACUAUUAUAGCAUCAUUCUAAAUUGAUUAAAAACUUCAUUCAUUUAACCAUCUAAAUCUUAUAAUUCAUCCUUCACUACCCAAAGUAAUAUACAUAUUCAAGUGACUAAACAACACCUAUGUACAUGCCACCUUUACCCAAAAGAAAAAUAUACAUCACCAAAUUUGUGUUGGAGUCGGGAUUGUUCUGGAUGCUGAGCGGGGACACUUGACUUCUACUAACCUGCGCACGGAAACAACCGUACGCUGAGUAUGGAUAUACUCAGUGGUAUUACCAUAAUUCAAAAUAUAUCAUCAAUAAUAAAAAAUAUAAAUAUUAAAAUACAUAACAAUUAAUUUCUUAAAUACUAAUUCAUACUUUAUUUUUAUAUUUAUUUUCAUCAUUUCAUAAUAACAAUUCAAUUUAAUUAUUCAUCAAUUAAUGUAUUUUUCACAAACUUGAAUUUAAACCACUUAUGAACAUUUAGCUCAUACUUUUCUCUUUCUAUCACAAUUCCAAUUUCUAUUCAUAAUUCAAUAUUUUUUUAUUUCAAUGCCUUAAAUUCACAUGUCAACUUUUCACCCUAUUAACGUAACUCGGACUUUGGUAGAUACACGGAUCCAACCGAACACACCAAUAUGGCACCCAAUGCCUCAUCGGAUAGUUCGAAGUAAUAGUUGACACCCAAUGUCUCAUCGACCUAGCCGAAGUA
rnacentral:lncRNA from 1 species